UGAAAUUGCGUAGAGAUCGGGAGGAAACAUCUGUGGCGAAGGCGGCCAUCUGGUACAACACUGACGCUGAGGCACGAAAGCGUGGGGAGCAAACAGGAUUAGAUACCCUGGUAGUCCACGCCCUAAACGAUGCGAACUGGAUGUUGGUCUCAACUCGGAGAUCAGUGUCGAAGCUAACGCAUUAAGUUCGCCGCCUGGGGAGUACGGUCGCAAGACUGAAACUCAAAGGAAUUGACGGGGGCCCGCACAAGCGGUGGAGUAUGUGGUUUAAUUCGAUGCAACGCGAAUAACCUUACCUGGCCUUGACAUGUCCGGAAUCCUGCAGAGAUGCGGGAGUGCCUUCGGGAAUCGGAACACAGGUGGCUUGCAUGGCUGUCGUCAGCUCGUGUCGUGAGAUG
rnacentral:rRNA from 1 species